CCGCAAGCUCCUACCCCGUGGGAUCUCUGUCACUCAACGCUACCUACAAGCACCUGAACAUGUGGGCAGAAGCCUGGACACAGCCUGUCCCCACCCUCCGCCUCCCCAAGGGGACCUGAAGUGCGAGAACAUCCUGCUGGACAACCAUGGCCUUCUCAAGCUGACCGGUGGGCCCACAGCCCCCACCCUGGGGUUGAAUGCCUCCACCUGCAGGGGCCCACACCCCACACUUGUCCCAGCCAGGCCCCUGCAUUCAGCCCUCCCAGAAGGCCUGCAGGCCACCCUUACCCUCGGGCCUGAGGUCACUGGCCUAACCCCCACGUGUGCCCCCAGACCAGGCCCACCUCAUCCACACCCACACUCUUGCUGUCGGCCACACACUGCAUGCAACCCCGCAAACCUCCACAGCCAUCCCUGCAGACUGGCAUCCUCAAGUCCCUCUCCCUGCACCCCUGCCCCUCACCCAUAGUGCCACCCUCCCCACACACCUCGUACAGACUUUGGCUUCGCAGGCUGCAUAGGGCCCAGGAACUCACCGCUCAGCACUUUCGGC
rnacentral:lncRNA from 1 species